rnacentral:rRNA from 1 species
AUGUUCUACCAUAUCAAUUUGACUACAAAAACCAAAGGAGAAGAUGGUUUGCAUAGUGCCGUCAACAAUCUAUUUUUUGCUGAAGUCAGAGAAAUUGAAGGAGAAAAUGACGAAUAUGUGCUCAAUUGUUUAUGUAUGGUUAAUCCUACUGACAAUGGCCAAUGCUAUGGUUGUAUGAGUUAUGGAAAUGUUGAUUUGAAGCACCCUGUUGAUGCUGAUAAAUACAAAGGGGGUCACUCUAGCCCACACAAACCAUGUUGUGGUCUUGAUCUACGGUGUGAUGUUAUUAAUGGCCUAGAUGCAUACACCGAGAGUGAAGAGGAUAGGCUGGUGGCUGAGGAGGCUAUGCUAAGAUAUAUAAACAUGUGCCCUGAUGAUCCUCCUGUUCUGGCAAAAUUGGAUGGUGCAAGAGUGCCUGCUGGUUUGGCGAAGAGAGAGGAUUCUGGUUUGACCAAGGGAGAGUGUGGUCAGGGAAGCGUGAAAUACAUUGUACCUGCUAGGCGUCUGUUGAUUUGA